AAAAAUAUAAAUAUUAGUUAAUAUAAAAUGUUUAAUAUAAUUUAGACUUAACUACAACUAAAAGCACACAAUUCACACAAGCUCAUAACUCACAAAUCAAAUUCUAAAUCACUUUCUCACAAUCUUACUCGUCCUUUCCAAAUUAUUCGUGCAGUAGUAAGCACCCAACUCGUCUUCAUCUCAUCAUAGCCUAGUAACACGUUGCGUUCUCAGUGGCCGAGUAGUCUAACUUAUCGCAACGUCAACUAGCAACCACACAUGUGACUUUGUUGUGCCAUAAUCGGUGAUCGGCAGGUGUCAUUACUCAUGGACAACAAUCACGUCAAUAUUGUAUAAAAAUCACAUUAUUUAAAUUUUGUUUUGAAAAUCAUUAUUUGAAUAUUAUA
rnacentral:lncRNA from 1 species